rnacentral:lncRNA from 1 species
UUACACAUGUGUGUUGAAUGAGCUGAAUUCAGUUCUUGGAAGGUUGGCGUAAGAAAAUUUAAUUUAUAUAUUAAUAUUAUAUUAAAUUUUCUGUUUUGGUGUUCUAAGCAUUUUCCUAUAAAUAGGGUGCUUAGGUUAGAAUUGAAAAUUACACCAGAAACUGAAGUUUUCUCUCUCUAUAUUUUCGAGCGUAUUCUUGUGAGUAUUUUGAGUAUAUUUUGAUUAUUGCUAUACGGUGCAAGUUCAAGU